CAGAAGGCCAUCAGACUGAGGCUCGUGCAUGAGGGGAUAGCAUGCUUUUACUUUCACUCUCUUUGUAUUAAAAAACUAUUUCCCGGUCGGAAUAUUAUCGCUUUUUUACGAGAAAAAUGGCAUGAAAAUUUAUUUAAACAGCGGUUGACAUGCUUCGAAGUAGGGUAAUGGAAUAUUUCGAUUUUUUUUGUCACGAAACGCGUCGUGCUCGUCACCCUUAUUUACCCUUUCGGAUAGUGUCUUGAACGCACGAACAAAACGCCGCUAUUUGGAUAUAACAAUGGAUUAUUUGGGACCAAACCAACAUUUCUUAUUGAAGUAGAAGUCCUGGGAGUGCAUUCUGACGAAGAACAGCAAAGGUGGCAAAUCGCAUCUCUGCAUGUCUGGCAGACAUAUCAGUGUGGAUGACGGAUCACCACCUCAAGCUGAACCUCGGCAAGACGGAG
rnacentral:lncRNA from 1 species